rnacentral:lncRNA from 1 species
GAAAACACCACAGAUUCCUCAUCUUGAAACUCCUCCCACAACCCACGUAUAAUCUUCACACAACACGACUGCAAUGAGUUUUCCAUUGUCGCCUUACGUCUCCGGCGAAAUCGCUACCACAUUCAACAUACACAUAAUCGUCCCACCAUAUAACCAUCAAUCUAUAAGUAUUUUCGUCCUAUGAAGGCUAUAAACUAGAAGAUUAAUGACUCUUUCGAAGAGUGAAAAUCAAGGCAAUAAUGCAGUCAAGGCCUUAGAUAGAAUGGGUAAAAGAAAGGUAGAUAAAGUACAUAAUGUUUUCCCAUCUAAAAGGCACAAACGGACUGGACUGGGUCAGUCCCAAAAUCAACCACGAAGAAGGUAUUUUCCAAAAAUCAAUUAGGUAAUUCAAUUAUAUCUUAUGUAUGAACCCGAAAUUGAUGGUUACUGAGUAUUGAAAACGUGUUCUAUAUUUGGGAAGUAUGCUCUAAUCAAUUUGUGACAUAUGAGUUGAGUGAUUCAAUUUGUGACCUGUGAGUUAAGUGCAUUUUGAUAUUCAUUUUUCUGUAAUCAAAUUACUUUUUAUUAUUAAUUUUAGUAUUUCAAAUCCCUAUUACCAUUUGGAAUAGUUUAGCAAGUUUGUAUGACUUUGAAUUUCAUCAGAAUUAUAACAUAUAAAAUGUGUCGUUUCCUAUUAGGUCAAGGCCAGAGACCAAGUAUUCUAACCAAAAGGAUAGACAUUACUAAUAUUAGUUAUUUACCUCUUUUACAAAUUCUAGUAACUCUUAAAUUGUCCAACUGUUAACUAAUUGGUUACAUUUUAUUCAUUCGUCAUAAUACUCCAAUUACUCUCAUAUGUACGAACCUAAAAUUGCUGGUUACUAAGUAUUGAUGACCUGUUUUAUAUUUGUGAAGUAUGCUCUAUUCAAUUUGUGACCUAUGCUUUGAGUGCAUUUUGGUAUUCGAUUGUGUGACUCAUAAGAUGGGAUUCUGGCGUUGUUUAAUUUAUGAAUUAGUAAUCAUCUAAGUAACUACGUUUGUGAACUGCAAAUCCAUGUGUGAUCAACAUUUGUGUUUGGAGGUUGUGACCUAAGAAGUAGCAAUGAAAUAAAUAGCCCUACUUGUGGUAUGCCAAUCAAUAUGUGAACCAACUUCUUUCCUUAUUAUGUUACAAAUAUGCAUCUUUGUCUGUCGUGACCUAGAAAUUUUUGUGAUUUUCUACAUUAGUUUGUACUCAAUUAUGCCUUUGUGACUUCUCUAUACAUCUGUGACAAUUUCUUAUUGUUUUGUGACAAUAUAUAGGUUUUCAAGUUCAUUAUACCAGAGAAUAGUUGGUUUCUUUGUAAAAUCCCACAAAGUGUGUUUUGAUAAGAAUUAAAACAAGUCUAACAAAGUUGAAGGUGAUGCUUGAUUUCUCCAUUCGCAACAGAAAAAUGGUGACCUCUACUUUAUAGUUACACGGACUAAUAUUGGAUUCCAUACCUAAUGAACUGCAUUUUUUCAGACAUGAUCAUAACAUAUAUGUGAUCAAAUAUGCUGAGUACAUG